CCUCGGUGCUGCCUCUUGCUGCCGCGGUGACGUGGGACGGGGGACUCCACCCCAGCGAGGCUCAGUUUCUUCAUCUGUGACCUGGAGGGGCACCGCGGACAAGUUCUCUCUGCACCUCCUGGAGAGGCAGGGAGGACAGACCCCAAGGGGCUGGGCAGGACGAUUCGAAGACAUGGGCUGGGUCCUCGGGCCUUCCGCGGCUGCGCUCCACCCUCCGUCCUCGUCGCCAGCGCGAAAACAAACCCACGUGCCACGUCCAGUCGUUAAAUAAUGUCCUUAGGCGUAUGGGCCCUGGAAAAGCUUACAAGCGCUUGGUUCCUGUUCCUGUUGUGUCCGAUGGAGGAAAACGGU